GACGAACGCUGGCGGCGUGCUUAACACAUGCAAGUCGAACGGUAAGGCCCUUCGGGGUACACGAGUGGCGAACGGGUGAGUAACACGUGGGUGAUCUGCCCUGCACUUCGGGAUAAGCCUGGGAAACUGGGUCUAAUACCGGAUAGGACUCCUGGCUUCAUGGUUGGGGGUGGAAAGCUUUUGCGGUGUGGGAUGGGCCCGCGGCCUAUCAGCUUGUUGGUGGGGUAAUGGCCUACCAAGGCGACGACGGGUAGCCGGCCUGAGAGGGUGACCGGUCACACUGGGACUGAGAUACGGCCCAGACUCCUACGGGAGGCAGCAGUGGGGAAUAUUGCACAAUGGGCGCAAGCCUGAUGCAGCGACGCCGCGUGAGGGAUGACGGCCUUCGGGCUGUAAACCUCUUUCAGCUAUGACGAAGCGCAAGUGACGGUAGUAGCAGAGGAAGGACCGGCCAACUACGUGCCAGCCGCCGCAGUAA
rnacentral:rRNA from 1 species